AGCUCCAAUAGCGUAUAUUAAAGUUGUUGCAGUUAAAAAGCUCGUAGUUGGAUUUGGGACUGGAGUCGUCGGGUCGGCCGCGAGGUCUGUUACUGGACGGCUCCGUCAUUUCAUCUCUCGGAGACCCGUCGUGCACUUCGCUGUGCGCGGCGCGGGACUCGGGACGUUUACUUUGAAAAAAUUAGAGUGCUCAAAGCAGGCUUUACACGCUUGAAUAUUCGUGCAUGGAAUAAUAGAAUAGGAUGUGAUUUCUAUUUUGUUGGUUUUCGGAAAUUCACAUAAUGAUUAAUAGGGACAGUCGGGGGCAUUAGUAUUCAGACGAUAGAGGUGAAAUUCUUGGACCGUCUGAGGACUAACUACUGCGAAAGCAUUUGCCAAGAAUGUUUUCAUUAAUCAAGAA
rnacentral:rRNA from 1 species